rnacentral:rRNA from 1 species
UAGGGAAUCUUCCGCAAUGGACGCAAGUCUGACGGAGCAACGCCGCGUGAGUGAAGAAGGAUUUCGGUUCGUAAAACUCUGUUGUUAGAGAAGAACAGCGCAUAGAGUAACUGUUAUGCGUGUGACGGUAUCUAACCAGAAAGCCACGGCUAACUACGUGCCAGCAGCCGCGGUAAUACGGAGGUGGCAAGCGUUGUCCGGAUUUAUUGGGCGUAAAGCGAGCGCAGGCGGUCAAUUAAGUCUGAUGUGAAAGCCCCCGGCUCAACCGGGGAGGGUCAUUGGAAACUGGUUGACUUGAGUGCAGAAGAGGAGAGUGGAAUUCCAUGUGUAGCGGUGAAAUGCGUAGAUAUAUGGAGGAACACCAGUGGCGAAGGCGACUCUCUGGUCUGUAACUGACGCUGAGGCUCGAAAGCGUGGGUAGCAAACAGG